UGCUAUGGACACCCUGUUUCAUGCACUCAUCAUCGUAAUUACAACUUAGCAGGAGUAAAUGAAAUGUUGUGAACGUUUAUGUAUGUUGACUUGAAUUUCUUUGUUCUGCUUCGCGCCAGUUUGCCGGUCUUGGAACCAUGAAUGACCAAGUGAACUUUGCGGCUAUUCAUAUAUUGCCCAGCAUCCAAGAUACAUUGCGGUAAACAGUCAAAAUGGCGUCUGUUUUGAUUGCUGGAAGUUCACAUGUUAAAAGAUUUGAGCACUAUGUAAAUCAAAAUCGAGAAUUUCAGAACUUGAAUUUAAAUCCAAACAUUUUUGUAACAUUUUAUGGUAUAAGUGGAGGAAAGCUGACAAAUAAUUCCCACUUGCAGGCGUUAGAACAAAAACUUAGGCACGUUUCUCCGGACUUUCUCAUCUUACAUUUAGGUGGUAACGAUCUGGACACAACUUCGGCUGAUGAAACAUACGCUUAUGAGUUAUGUUUACGACUUUGUUGUAUUGCGGAAACAUUUGCCCGUUGUUUCAACAUUAAAAAGACAAUUGUUUGCCAACUGAUGCCGAGAUAUCGGACACGGAUAUUAGAUAUAAAUAUUUAUAAUAAACUAGUAAUAAAAUUCAAUAGAAUACUGAAGAGGGAGCUGUUAGGAAAAAACUAUUUGCAGUACUGGAAUAUAAAAGGUGUCAAAAACAGCCAGCGUCCAGUAUUUUGCGAUGGAGUCCAUCUGAACAACGAAUGGGGCAUGCGAAUUUACUACAGAAACUUGCGUGGGGCAAUUAUCCAAUGUUUAAAAUAAGAUUGGUAGCAGGGACAUCUACAAUGUAUGGUCCGUCAACAUAAGCAGCACAUUUUCAUUCAGGUAGGAACAUGCCACCUAAGAGAAAAAGGAGUCGGGCGACAAAAGCUGCGGAGCCAACAGAGUCUCAACCAAAACGCAGCGCACCGUCGAAAGACCAGGAAAUCGUGGAUACAAUCCAAAACGCAAUACAAGCAGCCAUUCCUGGUAUUACGAAGGCGGUAAUGGAUGAGAUAUUCAAACAACAGACUAGUACUGACACCGCUAUAAUGCCAAGUCCUUCAGCGCCUGAGGGGGAAGCGGCCAAUGAAGCGCUGUGGAGCCUACGGUUAAUCUGGGUCCGGGAAUUUCAGGACCUAUGUACAAAUAUGGACCCAGUGCCAUCAGCAGUUCACCCAACAAUGCUAACACUCUGAAAGAUAUAGCAACAGCCAUUCUGAAGAAUUCCCUCGCUCCUACAUCAAGGGCAGCUUAUGAAAAAAACAUUUGCUUUUUACGCUGACUUUAUGUCAACCUACUUUCCUAAUGUCUCUUUACUGCCUCCUACUACUGAGCAUUUGGCACAUUUUAUAGCUUUUUGUUUUCAAAGUAAUAUCGCAGCACCAACCUUGAAAACUUACAUUUCGGCUCUUAGUUAUAAUUUUAAAGUUCAAGGUUUUGAAGAUCCAUCACAACAAUUUGUGAUUCGCAAAAUGCUACAGGGAUAUCAAAAGUUCAAAACUGUAGGAAGUGACACAAGAUUGCCCAUAACAACGUCAAUUCUGAAACAGCUUGUAACUUCGUUAGACAAGUUAGGCAUUUCAGCCUAUCAAUGCAGUAUGCUAAGGGCAAUGUAUUUGCUGGCUUUCCAUGCUUUUUUAAGGGUUGAUGAAAUAACAGUUUCGUCUUCUACGAACGUUAAAAACGUAUUAAAUCUGGCCAAUGUAAAACUCGUUUCGGAUAAACUAAAUUGCAGUGAAUCCCUUGAGAUUACAAUGGAUAAUUUUAAACAUAGUGCAGGCAAACAUAUACCCACGUUGAUUCUACAAAAAACAAAUCGGAAGAGCAAUUUUGUCCUGUUCAGGCUAUUCAGCUAUUUCUUAAAGUUAGAGGCCAGUCACCAGGCCCUUUGUUUGCAUAUCCAAAUGGUGAUGGGUUACUAAGACAACAUUUUACGAAUUAUUUGCAAAUGUCUCUUAAAUGGGCAGGGCUAAAUACGAGUCACUAUAAAGGCCACAGUUUUCGAAUAGGAGCUGCGACAUGCGCUGCAGCAAUGGGAAUUUCAGAGGAAAAAAUCAAACGAAUGGGAAGAUGGCAUUCCGACGCUUUUAAAAAGUACAUAAGAAUCCCUGUGCUUCAUAUUUAGAUGAAUUUGAUCAUGGGGUCAUGGGUCUCUGAUCAAAUAGUAUAAAUUAGUAUUUCACCCCUUUAUUUUUUCGCGAACGCAUAGGUGAGGGUCAGCAGGUUUUUGAACAGUAGUUUUCCUUUCGGUUAAUCUGUAUAUAUGUUGCCGUAGGCAAUGACUUUCAGACUUUUGAAAUUUAACACUGGGUCAUGGGGACAUGGGCCUCUGAUUCCACAAUUGCUAGUGAACUAUGGAUGAGAGUUUGUUGUCAUUUGAAAUUUGACACUGGGUCAUGGGGACACGGGCCUCUGAUUUCACAAUUGCUAGUGAACUAUGGGUGAGAGUUUGUUGUCAUUUGAAAUUU